GUUAGGCUGGGCUGUGAUGGGGAGCGAAAAUUGCAGUAGCGAAGGUCAUGUACUCCGGCUGUCGAGAAAAGCCUCUAGUUAGAUCUAGGUGCCCGUACCGCAAACCGACACAGGUAGGCGAGCAGAGCAUGCUAAGGCGCGCGGAAGAACUCUCGUUAAGGAACUCGGCAAAAUGACCCCGUAACUUCGGGAGAAGGGGUGCCUCGGUAGGGUGAAUAGCCCGAGGGGGCCGCAGUGAAAAGGCCCAAGCGACUGUUUAGCAAAAACACAGGUCUGUGCGAAGCCGUAAGGCGAAGUAUACGGGCUGACGCCUGCCCGGUGCUGGAAGGUUAAGGGGAGCGGUUAGGGGUAACCCGAAGCUGUGAACCGAAGCCCCAGUAAACGGCGGCCGUAACUAUAACGGUCCUAAGGUAGCGAAAUUCCUUGUCAGGUAAAUUCUGACCCGCACGAAUGGCGUAACGACUUGGGCGCUGUCUCAACGAGAGAUCCGGUGAAAUUUUAAUACCUGUGAAGAUGCAGGUUACCCGCGACAAGACGGAAAGACCCCAUGGAGCUUUACUGCAGCUUGAUAUUGGACUUUGGUACGAUCUGUACAGGAUAGGUGGGAGCCUAGGAAGCCGGAGCGCCAGCUUCGGUGGAGGCGCCGUUGGGAUACCACCCUGAUCGUAUCGGAGUUCUAACCCGGCACCGUGAAUCCGGUGCGGGGACCGUGUCAGGCGGGCAGUUUGACUGGGGCGGUCGCCUCCUAAAAAGUAACGGAGGCGCCCAAAGGUUCCCUCAGAAUGGUUGGAAAUCAUUCGCAGAGUGCAAAGGCAUAAGGGAGCUUGACUGCGAGACCUACAAGUCGAGCAGGGACGAAAGUCGGGCUUAGUGAUCCGGUGGUACCGCAUGGAAGGGCCAUCGCUCAACGGAUAAAAGCUACCCUGGGGAUAACAGGCUUAUCUCCCCCAAGAGUCCACAUCGACGGGGAGGUUUGGCACCUCGAUGUCGGCUCAUCGCAUCCUGGGGCUGAAGUAGGUCCCAAGGGUUGGGCUGUUCGCCCAUUAAAGCGGUACGCGAGCUGGGUUCAGAACGUCGUGAGACAGUUCGGUCCCUAUCUGUCGCGGGCGUAGGAAAUUUGAGAGGAGCUGUCCUUAGUACGAGAGGACCGGGAUGGACGUACCGCUGGUGUACCAGUUGUUCCGCCAGGAGCACCGCUGGGUAGCCAAGUACGGACGGGAUAAGCGCUGAAAGCAUCUAAGCGUGAAGCCCCCCUCAAGAUGAGAUUUCCCAAUUCGUAAGACCCCUUGAAGACGACGAGGUUGAUAGGUUCGGGGUGGAAGCACAGCAAUGUGUGGAGCUGACGAAUACUAAUCGGUCGAGGGCUUAUCCUAAA
rnacentral:rRNA from 1 species